UGUAGUUCAGUGGUAGAAUGUGUGCUUAACAUGUACAAGGUCCUGGGCUCAAUUCCCAGCA
rnacentral:tRNA from 1 species